AUCUCUGCGCUUGGGGCAAUGACGCAGCUAGGGAGGUUACAACCGAAGCGCGUCAAUUGCUGGUUGAAAACUAUUUCCAAACCCCCUCUUUGGCAAAGAGGGUCCGGCCCCGUGCCACUGAUAAUCUCUCAAAGGCCCCCACUAAUCAUGGGU